UGUUUCGGCAAGGGGGUCAUCCCGACUUACCAACCCGAUGCAAACUGCGAAUACCGGAGAAUGUUAUCACGGGAGACACACGGCGGGUGCUAACGUCCGUCGUGAAGAGGGAAACAACCCAGACCGCCAGCUAAGGUCCCAAAGUCAUGGUUAAGUGGGAAACGAUGUGGGAAGGCCCAGACAGCCAGGAUGUUGGCUUAGAAGCAGCCAUCAUUUAAAGAAAGCGUAAUAGCUCACUGGUCGAGUCGGCCUGCGCGGAAGAUGUAACGGGGCUAAACCAUGCACCGAAGCUGCGGCAGCGACGCUUAUGCGUUGUUGGGUAGGGGAGCGUUCUGUAAGCCUGUGAAGGUGUGCUGUGAGGCAUGCUGGAGGUAUCAGAAGUGCGAAUGCUGACAUAAGUAACGAUAAAGCGGGUGAAAAGCCCGCUCGCCGGAAGACCAAGGGUUCCUGUCCAACGUUAAUCGGGGCAGGGUGAGUCGACCCCUAAGGCGAGGCCGAAAGGCGUAGUCGAUGGGAAACAGGUUAAUAUUCCUGUACUUGGUGUUACUGCGAAGGGGGGACGGAGAAGGCUAUGUUGGCCGGGCGACGGUUGUCCCGGUUUAAGCGUGUAGGCUGGUUUUCCAGGCAAAUCCGGAAAAUCAAGGCUGAGGCGUGAUGACGAGGCACUACGGUGCUGAAGCAACAAAUGCCCUGCUUCCAGGAAAAGCCUCUAAGCAUCAGGUAACAUCAAAUCGUACCCCAAACCGACACAGGUGGUCAGGUAGAGAAUACCAAGGCGCUUGAGAGAACUCGGGUGAAGGAACUAGGCAAAAUGGUGCCGUAACUUCGGGAGAAGGCACGCUGAUAUGUAGGUGAAGCGACUUGCUCGUGGAGCUGAAAUCAGUCGAAGAUACCAGCUGGCUGCAACUGUUUAUUAAAAACACAGCACUGUGCAAACACGAAAGUGGACGUAUACGGUGUGACGCCUGCCCGGUGCCGGAAGGUUAAUUGAUGGGGUCAGCGCAAGCGAAGCUCUUGAUCGAAGCCCCGGUAAACGGCGGCCGUAACUAUAACGGUCCUAAGGUAGCGAAAUUCCUUGUCGGGUAAGUUCCGACCUGCACGAAUGGCGUAAUGAUGGCCAGGCUGUCUCCACCCGAGACUCAGUGAAAUUGAACUCGCUGUGAAGAUGCAGUGUACCCGCGGCAAGACGGAAAGACCCCGUGAACCUUUACUAUAGCUUGACACUGAACAUUGAGCCUUGAUGUGUAGGAUAGGUGGGAGGCUUAGAAGUGUGGACGCCAGUCUGCAUGGAGCCGACCUUGAAAUACCACCCUUUAAUGUUUGAUGUUCUAACGUUGACCCGU
rnacentral:rRNA from 1 species